GUGGAUUAGAUACCCUGGUAGUCCACGCCCUAAACGAUGAAUACUCGAUGUUGGCGAUAUACGGUCAGCGUCUAAGCGAAAGCGUUAAGUAUUCCACCUGGGGAGUACGCCCGCAAGGGUGAAACUCAAAGGAAUUGACGGGGGCCCGCACAAGCGGAGGAGCAUGUGGUUUAAUUCGAUGAUACGCGAGGAACCUUACCCGGGCUUGAAAGUUAGUGAAUGGAGCAGAGACGCUCCAGUCCUUCGGGACACGAAACUAGGUGCUGCACGGCUGUCGACAACU
rnacentral:rRNA from 1 species